rnacentral:rRNA from 1 species
AGCGGCGGACGGGUGAGUAAUGUAUGGGGAUCUGCCCGAUAGAGGGGGAUAACUACUGGAAACGGUGGCUAAUACCGCAUAAUGUCUACGGACCAAAGCAGGGGCUCUUCGGACCUUGCACUAUCGGAUGAACCCAUAUGGGAUUAGCUAGUAGGUGGGGUAAAGGCUCACCUAGGCGACGAUCUCUAGCUGGUCUGAGAGGAUGAUCAGCCACACUGGGACUGAGACACGGCCCAGACUCCUACGGGAGGCAGCAGUGGGGAAUAUUGCACAAUGGGCGCAAGCCUGAUGCAGCCAUGCCGCGUGUAUGAAGAAGGCCUUAGGGUUGUAAAGU